UACGUAGGGUGCGAGCGUUAAUCGGAAUUACUGGGCGUAAAGCGUGCGCAGGCGGUUUUGUAAGCCAGAUGUGAAAGCCCCGGGCUCAACCUGGGAAUGGCAUUUGGGACUGCAAGGCUGGAGUGUGGCAGAGGAGACUGGAAUUCCUGGUGUAGCAGUGAAAUGCGUAGAUAUCAGGAGGAAUACCGAUGGCGAAGGCGGCUACCUGGACCGAUAUUGACGCUGAGACGCGAAAGCGUGGGGAGCAAACAGG
rnacentral:rRNA from 1 species